rnacentral:lncRNA from 1 species
AGAGCCAUGAUAAAAGGACUUGCCAGAGAAGUCUUUGAGUGACAGCCCAUGUAUACUACUAAUACAUGAAACAGGCAAGGAUUCCCAGAGGAUGUAAUGCUUUGAGCUGAGCCUUGAAAGGUGAAUAGAGUUAGCUAAGUGAGGAAAGUAAAGAUAAAUUGAGAGGUGAAGACAGCCAACAUGGAAAUUAUUGCAGCAUUUGCCUUCAUCAUGUGUGUGACCAAAAAACUCAGGAAAAAAAAAAGAUUCAAAUACUUGUGUGUAUGUGCGUCUGUGUGUGUGUGUGUGUGUGUCUGGCCAUCUGUGCGUG